GGCAGCGUGGCUCAUUGUGGAAAGAGCACGGGCUUUGAAGUCAGAGGUCAUGAGUUUGAAUCCCAGCUCUGCCA
rnacentral:tRNA from 1 species